rnacentral:lncRNA from 1 species
CGACCAGUUGAGAUUUCACUCCAUGCUUCGUUUUCGUUCACCGGUAGAAAAGUUUUCGGAUUAGUUACGUAUUUAUUCCUCUCUUUUGUCGGUGAGAGACUACACGGCAGCCCAAGCAAGUGAGCGAAGAUGGUGGAUUUCGGCUGGUGAGUGUCUACGAGCGCAUGUUUAUCGGCAAGGAAGUCGGGUUAUUUGGGUUAUUUUUCAAUCUGUGUUUUGGCGGAUUAAAUCUCGAACGGUUUGUUUUUUGCUCGUUUUACGCGUCUUCGUCUCGUGUUGUUGGAGAUAUCUAAACAUUAAGGCUUAAACGCUAUGCUGGCGAUGAAAACAGUGUAACGUGAGGCGCAUGGCAGCCCCCUCUGCUCCACCAUUGAGGGAAUGAGGGAGAUUUGAAAAGCUGUCCGGAGCUUUUUCUCCGCUGCGCCGUCGCAACUAGUUUGUGAAAAAAACCCACCCUCAACCGAAUGUCUUUAUAGAAGUAAACACGCCAUUCAGACGUGUGUAAAGUUAGUUUGUAAAUGUGAUAAAUUUGUUUGUCAGUGUUGAGUGCAGUGGUGUGUGAGUUAAAGUGCCCCCCAGAACAAAGCAGCAGCACAUGGGGCAGUUUUAGGCCGCGCGUUUUAGCUCGACUAGCCUAGCCUAGCCGUUUAAACUCUACUCAUGAUUCACGGGGGAAAAUUCACACAAAGCCUCACUUAGUAACAAAAACUGCACUCUGUACGACCUUUUGACUACAUCCAACACAGCGUUUUAGUGCCGUUAGUAUAUUUGGACGUGUGCUCGUUUGUUGUUGGCUCACAGCUAGUGUCGUCAACCCUAACUCAAUUUACGUGAAAUUCAGCUUUUUUGCUGAACGUAACCCACCCAAACAGGCUCUUUGCGUGUUUUAAUGUUUUUCCUAAUAUGCCUGUUGUGUCUCUUAACACGUUUUGCCAUGUUUUAUCUAAGCUAACACAAGCUCUCAGCGGCUAAGCUAACCAGCCCAACAAGCGCACGGCUGCUGUAUCCUGCUAACCCCUUGUCUAUUUCCUGUUACGUCCGAAAUCGCAAGCAAAACCCCAAUCCCUGCAAACAAACAAGACGCAACUGCGAUUUUUUAGUGUGUAACACUCAGUUUGCGUCUGGCUUAGUUUGUUUAAAAGCCACAUAAGCUAAGGUUGGCGCACUUCGAGGCGCCAUGUUAAAGACGGUGGGGGAGGGGUGAUCAACACCGUUCACUGCGCAGGCGCCCCAGUGGCGCAGGGAACGCGGGCCGCAGGCUGUGCUGCUCAUUCAUGUUUUCAGUGACCUCGUGCCGCUGUAAUAAAUCAUAACAUCUCGUGUCAAAACAACUUCGUGCGACUAUCUGCUAAUGAGAGAAUAACAGACACUAUUAUUAUUAAAGGUGAUGCGAAUUUCUAGGUCUAAGCAUGAAUAAAUGGAGUGAGAGUACAUGUGCACAUACAGUUAUUUUUGCAUAUUUUAUUAAGAAGCUGUUCAUUAUCAAAGCUAUCCUGUGCUUUUUAUUUUCAGAUCCACAAUGAAGUGCGGGACUCAUAAAGAACAACGCAAUCUGAAGCAGUUACAGCGUCUUUCCCAUGGCGCUGGUGUGCAGGGAC